CUGGAAGGAGUUUUCGGACAACGGAAGGUGAGGACAGUGGCGGACGGGUGAGUAACGCGUGAGGAACCUGCCUUUCAGAGGGGGACAACAGUUGGAAACGACUGCUAAUACCGCAUGACACAUAGAGAUCGCAUGGUUUUUAUGUCAAAGAUUUAUCGCUGAAAGAUGGCCUCGCGUCUGAUUAGCUAGUUGGUGAGGUAACGGCCCACCAAGGCGACGAUCAGUAGCCGGACUGAGAGGUUGACCGGCCACAUUGGGACUGAGAUACGGCCCAGACUCCUACGGGAGGCAGCAGUGGGGAAUAUUGGGCAAUGGGCGCAAGCCUGACCCAGCAACGCCGCGUGAAGGAAGAAGGCUUUCGGGUUGUAAACUUCUUUUGUCGGGGACGAGUAGAAGACGGUACCUGGCGAAUAAGCCACGGCUAACUACGUGCCAGCAGCCGCGGUAAUACGUAGGUGGCAAGCGUUGUCCGGAUUUACUGGGUGUAAAGGGCGUGUAGCCGGGAAGGCAAGUCAGAUGUGAAAUCCACGGGCUUAACUCGUGAACUGCAUUUGAAACUACUUUUCUUGAGUAUCGGAGAGGCAAUCGGAAUUCCUAGUGUAGCGGUGAAAUGCGUAGAUAUUAGGAGGAACACCAGUGGCGAAGGCG
rnacentral:rRNA from 1 species